UGAUUUUAUAUGUGGUAUCAGAGCAACGGGUUCAAUACUGGACCUCUCAAUCCCUAGAAUUCAGAUUUGAGCAAAUUUUAUGGGGAAUUGUAAUGGUUAUGGCGGCUAUUUUAUUCAAGUUAGUUUCACCUGAGUCUGACACGGAUGAAGAGAUGAUGACGAUGAGUAAGGAUGACACAAGCACAUGUAGUGUUCAAGCUGAAGGUGAGGUUGAUAAUAUUGAUGAAACUUGCACGCAAGAAAAAAGUCCAGAACUUGCUACUGAAGUAACAAGAUCAACUUGUGCUUUACUAUUAAAACGUGACUUACCCCAAGGUAACCUCACUGUUUCGCUUGGCGUAACAUUAAAAAAACUCACGUGUGGGAAAAAAACUUGACGCAGAAGUUACAACUGAAAAAGGCUUAGGGUUUUGUACGAGUGUUUUGAUAAAAACGGAGCAGAAUCUAGCGAGAUUUAUGAGGCAAAAUCUGAGGUUAAGCUUCAGUUAUCCAAGGUGAAUGAGAUCAUCAAUGUCUUCAACGAGAUGUGGAGAUUCUUGGCGAAAUAUCACCAUAAGCAGUUUCAGAUGAGAAGUAAGUCUUUUGGUCACAUGGUUGAGAAAGAAUUAAAGAAACUGACACAGAAGGUUGAAGAACAUAUCAGAACAUUCAGAGAAUCUUUGAAAGAAUCUUUGAAAGGCUACAUUGACAGACACGGAAGUUUUGUUAGCGUGUUAAACGAGUGGCUAAACAAGAACACCAUGGAGGAGGAUGAUCAAACCGAGACCGAGGCUCCUAAGAUAUUUAGGGUAUGUAGUAAACGACUAAAAGAGACUGAGAAUGUGGAUGGAGUCAAAGUGUUGAGUACUGUUAAAUUGUUUAUGGCUUUCACAAGUGCUUACUACAGAGGAUCUGUAGGUGCUUUACUUGUCUACAACAACAUGACAAGGCAUUCGAGGUUUGAGAAGGCAGCAAGAUGGCAAAGGGAGCUACGAGGACACACGGACCCAAACAGUGUAGUGAUACUUAUAGGUAACAAGUGCGAUUUGCUAGGCAUGGUGGACAUAAAAACAGAGGAAACUAAAGCCUUUGAUAAGAGAGAGUCUCCCUACUUCAUGGAGAUGUCAGUGUUAGAUUCAACCAACGUUGAAAACGCUUUCACCCAAGCGCUCACUCAGAUUCAUAAGAUAGUGAGCAAAAGGAGAGUGGAUGAAUCCAACAAGGAAGGAGAAAGAGGAUCUGAAAUGGAAUUGAGAUUUAGAAGUUUGGGGUUUAAGCAAGUGGAGGAAGAGAGACAGAGAAUGAGAACAGAGAAGUUGUGUAAAGAGCUGGAGACGAAGACGAAUAAGAGUGAUGAAGUAAUCUUCAAAGCUUCUUUGAACCUUGAAGAUAUUGACGCUUUAAACUCCUCUGAAGCUGAUGAUAAUUGCAAAAACGGUAAAGAUGACAUGGGAAGCUGUAGAGCAAUCAGGACGACCAAGACUAAUGGUAGUAUUGAUGACAGAAAUGAGGGAGAAAGCAGCAGUAUAAAAUACAAUAGUGACGAUCAUAACAAUAACUUGAGCUUAGGAGCUGGAGGAGGAGACAUUGCUCCUACGUCCAUACAUUACAGGAGUGUUUCAGUGGACAAUUGUUUCAUGGAUAAAUUGUUUUUUGGUGAAGAGUCGCUAAAGCCUCCUCCUUCACCUCAUGGAACUGUGUCACGGAAGGAUGAUGCGGGCUUUUAGCAUCGAGUUUAAGAACAGAGAGUUCACUGCAGCGAAAAUAAAGAAGAUCAUGGCUUAUGAUAAACUAUCGGAGAUGGCCAUGUCUGACCCUACGCGUGCCAAAAGAAUAUUGGCGAACCGUCAGUCUACAGUGAGGAAGAUAGUGGAGUUGGAACACAAAGUGCAUACCCUUCAGACUGAGGCUACUACAUUGUCUGCUCAGUUCACGUUGUUGCAGAGAGAUAUGAUGGGGUUGACAAACCAGAACAAUGAGCUUAAGUUUUGUCUUCAAGCAAUAGAGCAGCAAGCUCAGCUUAGGCGAUGCUCUGAAUGAAGCACUUGGUGGGGAAGUCCAAAGACUGAAACUGGCAAUUGGUGAGAUCAGACACAAGGAAUAUGAUAGAUCAAAGAUACAAUUAAUCAACGCCGAGAUGGUCCAGCAACUCAACAUCAGCCAGUUAACACAGCAGAACCAUGAAAGCCUACACAAAUAUCUGACGCUGGAAAACAUGGAGCCAGCUUCACAGGCCAGAGAGAUUGAGGAGUUAAAGCAUAAGCUUAUGGAAAGAGACGAGGAGCGUGUUUCUAUGCAGUCGUCCUCUCACCUUGGAGAUCGAAAGCUAGAUCACAUGAGUGUUGAGAUUUCAAUAAAAUGGGAGAAGGUUUCUGUGGUGGUUUCUGGAACUGGAAACAAAUCACAAUUCUUGAGCCAAACCAACGAGAUUGUAAAGAGACAAGAAGAUGAGAUACAUUCACUUCAGAGAGCACUCAAGGAGAAGGAAGAAGAUAUUCAGAUGUCUAUAGUGGAGAAGAGACUUGAACGUAUACAGUAUCUUGUUCAAAUAGAAAACCUAGAGAGGCAAAUGCAUAUGUUUCGAUCUAAAAGAGAAGGUCAAUUACGUGAUAGUGUUUGUACUGCUUUAUAUGUUGACAAUGAUGGGAUCUUACGAGUCGGGUUUCCUGGAGCAUCUCGAGGCUUGAAAGCUGAUCCUUCUGAACUGGAACGUGUGGAGGAGCUUAAAGUCGAUGACUGGGUGCGCUAUGAUUGGUUUAGUGUAGGAAAAGGACAGUAUUGCCACGAAUUUCAUAGGUUCCCAUUCUGUUUCAGAAAAUAUGGUCUCUGUUUCUGUUUUGAGCUGUGAAGU